rnacentral:rRNA from 1 species
GUCGUCAGCUCGUGUCGUGAGAUGUUGGGUUAAGUCCCGCAACGAGCGCAACCCUUGCCCUGUGUUACCAGCGGGUGGAGCCGGGUACUCACAGGGGACUGCCGGCGAUAAGUCGGAGGAAGGAGGGGAUGACGUCAGGUCAGUAUGCCCUUUAUGCCCUGGGCUACACAGGCGCUACAGUGGCAGGGACAGAGGGAAGCGAAGCCGUAAGGUGGAGCAAAUCCCAAAAACCCUGUCGUGGUGCGGAUUGGGGGUUGCAACUCACCCCCAUGAAGGCGGAAUCGGUAGUAAUGGCGGAUCAUCAAAGCCGCCGUGAAUACGUUCCCGGGUCUUGUACACACCGCCCGUCACGCCACGGGAGUUGGGUCUGUCGGAAGUCCCCGGGCUAACCGGCCUUCGGGUCGGAGGCAGGGGCCGAUGACAGGCCUGGCGACUGGGGCGAAGUCGUAACAAGGUAGCCGUAGGGGAACCUGCGGCUGGAUCACCUCCUUUAUAGGGA